rnacentral:rRNA from 1 species
CCCUUAGAGUUUGAUCCUGGCUCAGAACGAACGUUGAUGGCGUGCCUCAUACAUGCAAGUCGAGCGGGGUAGCAAUACCCAGCGGCGGACGGGUGAGUAACACGUAAACAAUCUGCCCUGAAGCGGGGAAUAACUAUCCCAACGGAUAGCUAAUACCGCAUAAUGAUGGAGACGGCAUCGUCUCUUCUCAAAAGGCUUCGGCCACUUCAGGAUGAGUUUGCGUCCCAUUAGCUUGUUGGCGGUGUAACGGACCACCAAGGCAACGAUGGGUAUCCGGCCUGAGGGGGUGUACGGACACAUUGGGACUGAGAUACGGCCCAGACUCCUACGGGAGGCAGCAGUAGGGAAUUUUGCGCAAUGGGGGAAACCCUGACGCAGCAACGCCAUGUGUGGGAUGAAGCACUUCGGUGUGUAAACCACUGUCAGCGGGGAAUAAAUGGCCUCUUCGGAGGCAGUUGAAUGUACCCGCAAAGGAAGCCCCGGCUAACUUCGUGCCAGCAGCCGCGGUAAUACGAGGGGGGCAAAUGUUGUUCGGAAUCACUGGGCGUAAAGGGAGCGUAGGCGGGCUCUUAAGUUAGGUGUUUAAUCCCGGGGCCCAACCCCGGACAGGCACUUAAAACUGGGAGUCUUGAU